rnacentral:lncRNA from 1 species
AGCUGGUGCUUAUUUUUGUUUGUCUGUUUGUUUUCUUUCCCCCUCCUCCAGCUGCAGUGGCUUCCUACUAGGAUCCUAAGGUGAAAGGGAGAUGGAUGUAGAUGCAUUUUGGAAGUGGCUGCUGUUCCCCUCUUCUAGCCUGCAUCAGAUGGAAGACUGUUCUUGGGAAAUGGGUAUCUCACUGAGAGAGGGAGAGAGAAGAAAGAGAGGGAGAGAAAGAAGAGAAGAGACAAGAGAAGAAGAAAACCAUAACAUUGGAGGUAGUUGGCUGAUGAUCAAACAGACAAUGAGAAAGACUCUCCAAGAAAUUUGAUAAUGAGGAAAAAGAGAAAAAGCAGUAGCUUUGAGGGUAAGGGAAAGAGAGUCAGCAGAGAACCAGAAUAUGUGAUGAAAAGAAAAGAGAUUAUUGAUUCAUCAGGUCUCCAAAGGAACAGGAAAGAUUUGGGAUCAAAAUAACUACGGGCAUGUAGAGUAAAAGAAGACAAACAAAAGAGUGUAUGUUAUGUGAAUCCAUGUGUAUAAAGUUAAAAAGCGAAAAACAAACAAAAGUUUUUUAAAAAGUGCUGUUAGAAGUCAG